rnacentral:rRNA from 1 species
AUUGAACGCUGGCGGCAUGCCUUACACAUGCAAGUCGAACGGCAGCACGGGGCAACCUGGUGGCGAGUGGCGAACGGGUGAGUAAUGCAUCGGAACGUACCUUUCAGUGGGGGAUAACGUAGCGAAAGUUACGCUAAUACCGGAUAUUCUGUGAGCAGGAAAGCAGGGGAUCGCAAGACCUUGCGCUGAUUGAGCGGCCGAUGUCAGAUUAGCUAGUUGGUGAGGUAAAGGCUCACCAAGGCGACGAUCUGUAGCGGGUCUGAGAGGAUGAUCCGCCACACUGGAACUGAGACACGGUCCAGCCUCCUACGGGAGGCAGCAGUGGGGAAGUUUGGACAAUGGGGGCAACCCUGAUCCAGCCAUGCCGCGUGAGUGAAGAAGGCCUUCGGGUUGUAAAGCUCUUUCGGCCGGGAAGAAAUCGCACGGGCUAAUACCCUGUGUGGAUGACGGUACCGGAAUAAGAAGCACCGGCUAACUACGUGCCAGCCGCCGCGGUAAAAC